rnacentral:rRNA from 1 species
GACGAACGCUGGCGGCGUGCUUAACACAUGCAAGUGGAGCGACGAACCAGGGCUUGCCCUGGGGCAGAGCCGCGAACGGGUGAGUAACACGUGGGUAACGUGCCCCGAUGACUGGGACAACCCGAGGAAACUCGGGCUAAUACCGGAUAUGCCCCCUCACAUCAGUGAGGUGUGUAAAGGAAGCUUCGGCCUCCGCAUCGGGAUCGGCCCGCGGCGCAUUAGCUUGUUGGUGGGGUAACGGCCUACCAAGGCUACGAUGCGUAGCUGGUCUGAGAGGACGAUCAGCCACACUGGGACUGAGACACGGCCCAGACUCCUACGGGAGGCAGCAGUGGGGAAUCUUGCACAAUGCGCGAAAGCGUGAUGCAGCAACGCCGCGUGCGGGAAGACGGCCUUCGGGUUGUAAACCGCUUUCAGUUGGGACGAAGUGUGUGCGGUUAAUAGCCGUUGCGCAUGACGGUACCUUCACAAGAAGCCCCGGCUAACUACGUGCCAGCCGCCGCAGUAACAC